UGUGCCAGCAGCCGCGGUAAUACGUAGGUGGCAAGCGUUAUCCGGAAUUAUUGGGCGUAAAGCGCGCGUAGGCGGUUUUUUAAGUCUGAUGUGAAAGCCCACGGCUCAACCGUGGAGGGUCAUUGGAAACUGKAAAACUUGAGUGCAGAAGAGGAAAGUGGAAUUCCAUGUGUAGCGGUGAAAUGCGCAGAGAUAUGGAGGAACACCAGUGGCGAAGGCGACUUUCUGGUCUGUAACUGACGCUGAUGUGCGAAAGCGUGGGGAUCAAACAGGAUUAGAUACCCUGGUAGUCCACGCCGUAAACGAUGAGUGCUAAGUGUUAGGGGGUUUCCGCCCCUUAGUGCUGCAGCUAACGCAUUAAG
rnacentral:rRNA from 1 species